rfam:Schistosoma curassoni strain Dakar, Senegal genome assembly, scaffold: SCTD_scaffold0000124
AGCUUACGAAAUCUUUACUAAGAUUUCGUCACACACUAACGCACCAGGAUUGAUGAGACUCCUAAGAUAAGUUAAGUG